UUUAGAGGGUGACUUCAAAAUUCAAAACCUUGACAUUAUGUUUGAAUUAUGUUAAACUCAUUAAUAUUACUCUCUCAAAAUUACAUUUUUUUUUUUCAUUUUGUUUAUCUAGCCUCAACUUUGUUUCAUGGAAUUUUAACUUUAAGUUCACUAGAAAUUCAGAAGUAAGGUUUUAGUUAUUUAUUUAUGCAUACCCAUCAAUUUAGUCUCUAUUAUUCUUUAGUGAGCUGUACAAAAACAACAUUCAAGGAACUAUUCCUCUACAACUUGGAAACCUCAAGAGUCUUGUUGGCUUGUACUUGUGUAACAACAACAUAACAUGAGUUACUAAACCAUAAGUUGCCUAUUUUCUCAUGUCAUUUAUCUAUGUAUACAUGUGAUUGUGCAAAGUUUAUAAGCAAGAUUGAGAUGUAUUUGCUGGCUUUCUAUAUUGAUUGUACCACUGAUGGAGUUCUCAACUGUGGUCUUCCUCACAUGAUUGUUACUCCCCUUGCUUAUUAUUUGUAGGAAGAAGUGAUCUUGUUACAAGUUUUUGGGCCGCUUUGAGCUUCCUCCUGCUAUUUGUGUAUCCAACUCCUGAACCUCCAACAACAAGUUGAGUUUCACACGGCUUCAAUGGUGUUGCCUUCGGAGCUGUAAGUAGUUUCUCAUACUUAGUUGUCAGCUAAAGUUGUUCUGCUUCUGGUGUGACUAAGUCAGAUUGGAAAAAGAUAAACAGUGGCUGAUUUAUCAUAUAAAUAGAUGCAUGUUGACCAAUGUACAUGGACCCUAUGUCAGGAUUUUGGAUCUUUUUUUUAAUGAGGUAUGUAAGUAUAAAAAUAUGAAGUUUAAUUAGGCACAUGUUAUUGUUCAAGAACAUGAGAUUUUUCUUUGGUAUACUUAUUGUUAAAACUAUGUAGUGUAAUCUUCAGAACUAUGUAGUCUAAACUUUGGUCUACUUAGAUCAUUGUCGACUAUAAAAUUUAGUCUAAUGGUUGUAAACUAUAAAAUUUUAGUUGUGAUUGAUUUAAAGAUGAAGUGAGGUACUAGACGUUAGUCCUUAGUCUCCAAGUACAAA